UGAGUACAGCGGCGCACGGGUGAGUAACACGUGGGUAAUCUGCCCUGAAGUGGGGAAUAACACCGGGAAACCGGUGCUAAUACCGCAUAUGAUCACGGUGUCUGCGGACACAGGGAUGAAAGGAGCAAUUCGCUUCAGGAGGAGCCCGCGGCUGAUUAGCUAGUUGGUGAGGUAAUGGCUCACCAAGGCUACGAUCAGUAUCCGGUCUGAGAGGACGGUCGGACACACUGGAACUGAGACACGGUCCAGACUCCUACGGGAGGCAGCAGUGGGGAAUUUUUCGCAAUGGGGGCAACCCUGACGAAGCAACGCCGCGUGGAUGAUGAAGUAUCUCGGUACGUAAAAUCCUUUCGACAGGGAAGAAACCGCAAGGUUGACGGUACCUGUAGAAGAAGCCCCGGCUAACUCCGUGCCAGCAGCCGCGGUAAUACGGGGGGGGCUAGCGUUGUUCGGAAUUACUGGGCGUAAAGGGCGCGUAGGCGGUCUAUUAAGUUGGAUGUGAAAACUCUGGGCUUAACUCAGAGCCUGCAUUCAAAACUGAUAGGCUGGAGUCCUGGAGGGGAUAGCGGAAUUCCUGGUGUAGCGGUGAAAUGCGUAGAUAUCAGGAGGAACACCGGUGGCGAAGGCGGCUAUCUGGACAGAAACUGACGCUGAGGCG
rnacentral:rRNA from 1 species